rnacentral:rRNA from 1 species
UACGUAGGGUGCGAGCGUUGUCCGGAAUUACUGGGCGUAAAGCGUGCGCAGGCGGUUCGUUGUGUCUGAUGUGAAAGCCCCGGGCUUAACCUGGGAAUGGCAUUGGAAACUGGCGAGCUGGAGUGUGGCAGAGGGGGGUGGAAUUCCGCGUGUAGCAGUGAAAUGCGUAGAGAUGCGGAGGAACACCGAUGGCGAAGGCAGCCCCCUGGGCUGACACUGACGCUCAGGCACGAAAGCGUGGGGAGCAAACAGG